rnacentral:rRNA from 1 species
UACGGGGGGGGCAAGCGUUGUCCGGAUUUACUGGGCGUAAAGAGCGUGUAGGCGGCCAAACAGGUCCGUUGUGAAAACUGGAGGCUCAACCUCCAGACGUCGACGGAAACCGUAUGGCUAGAGUCCGGAAGAGGAGAGUGGAAUUCCUGGUGUAGCGGUGAAAUGCGCAGAUAUCAGGAAGAACACCUAUGGCGAAGGCAGCUCUCUGGGACGGUACUGACGCUGAGACGCGAAAGCGUGGGGAGCGAACAGG